rnacentral:rRNA from 1 species
UUGGAGGGCAAGUCUGGUGCCAGCAGCCGCGGUAAUUCCAGCUCCAAUAGCGUAUAUUUAAGUUGUUGCAGUUAAAUAGCUCGUAGUUGAAUUUCGGGGUCAGUAGGUUGGUCAUGCCACUGGUAUGUACUGGUCUCACUGAUUCCUCCUUCCUGAUGAGCCGUAAUGCCAUUAAUUUGGUGUUGCGAGGAAUCUGGACUGUUACUUUGAAAAAAUUAGAGUGUUUAAAGCAAGCUAACGCUUGAAUACAUUAGCAUGGAAUAAUGAAAUAGGACGUUCGAUCCUAUUUUGUUGGUUUCUAGGAUUGACGUAAUGAUUAAUAGGGAUAGUUGGGGGCAUUAGUAUUCAAUUGUCAGAGGUGAAAUUCUUGGAUUUAUUGAAGACUAACUACUGCGAAAGCAUUUGCCAAGGAUGUUUUCAUUAAUCAAGAACGAAAGUUAGGGGAUCGAAGACGAUCAGAUACCGUCGUAGCCUUAACCAUAAACUAUGCCGACUAGGGAUCGGAUGAUGUUAAUUUUUUAAUGACUCAUUCGGCGCCUUACGGGAAACCAAAGUGUUUGGGUUC